UGUGUGUGUGUGUUGAAACCAUAGACUGUAUAAAAACAUGGACGUAGUGUCCGUGACGUCACCCGUAGACUUCCGACGAGCGUUUUG